UUCUCCUUCCCGAUCUCCUAUUGGAAAUCUGUCAAUCUGUGCCUGAAUUUUGGUUCUCCAUUCUCGCAUGUAGUCUUCAAUAUCAAAUACAAAUGGGUGUUGUCCAAAAUUAGCAUCCACCACUUCUCCUGGUGUUUGCAGUCCUACUGUAGGGUACAAGUUUGGCGGUAAAUCUGUGAAAGCGAUGCCCAAGCUGUGUCCAUUCUUUGUGUAGAAGCACGUAUUAUUGAUAAGGUUGACGCAACAGCCAAUGACAUCACCCGUAGUAAAUGUUGGGCCAUAGGGUUGUCCAGUUCCAGAGGAACAGAAUGAAUGUCCAUCAUCUCCAUGGUAACCAUAUGAAUGUUUAUCCCAACCUGGUAACCUAUUCAUGUUGACACCCUGUGCCGAAAGCCCAAUCCCC
rnacentral:lncRNA from 1 species